rnacentral:rRNA from 1 species
CCUACGGGAGGCAGCAGUGGGGAAUAUUGGUCAAUGGACGAGAGUCUGAACCAGCCAAGUAGCGUGAAGGAUGACUGCCCUCUGGGUUGUAAACUUCUUUUAUAUGGGAAUAAAAUGUUCCACGUGUGGGAUUUUGUAUGUACCAUAUGAAUAAGGAUCGGCUAACUCCGUGCCAGCAGCCGCGGUAAUACGGAGGAUCCGAGCGUUAUCCGGAUUUAUUGGGUUGAAAGGGAGCGUAGGUGGAUUGUUAAGUCAGUUGUGAAAGUUUGCGGCUCAACCGUAAAAUUGCAGUUGAAACUGGCAGUCUUGAGUACAGUAGAGGUGGGCGGAAUUCGUGGUGUAGCGGUGAAAUGCUUAGAUAUCACGAAGAACUCCGAUUGCGAAGGCAGUUCACUGGACUGCAACUGACACUGAGGCUCGAAAGUGUGGGUAUCAAACAGGAUUAGAUACCCCAGUAGUC